rnacentral:piRNA from 1 species
CCCCCCUUGCUGAAGUAUCGUUUCUGGCUGU